AGGCUAGAUUAGAAAAGGUCAUGCCACUUCCACCUGACGGUCUAAGGAUUAUGGUUCUGGGGAAACCUAGCCGCCAUGUAAGACGUCCAACUACCCUGAAGCCAGCCCGUGCUGGAGAGGCCGUGUGUCUGCAGGUGCUUCCGUUGACAGCUUUAGCUGAGCUCCGAGCCAACAGCCAGCAUCAACUGCCGGCCACACGGAUGCGCCAUAGUGAAGGGUCAGCCCAGCUGACACCUGACUACAGCCGCGUGAGGGACCCCGAGCAACAAUGGUUCAGCUGAGCCCUUCCUAGCUUCCUAACCCAUAAAAUCAUGAGCAAAAUAAAACGCUUGUUGGAUUUAUACCACUAAGUUGUGGGGGUAAUUUGCUUCACAGUGAUAGUAACCAGAACAUGAGCCUUAGUGAUUAUCUGGCCCAACUAGAACAGUUGGGGAAACUGAGGCCCAGAGAGGGGAAGAGAUCUACCAAGAAUUCUCACAACUAAGCAGGGGAAAAACUGGGGCCAAAGCCUGGGUUUCUUGACUCCCAAUCCAGUGCACCCUCCAUACAGCAAGGUGCUGACAGGCAGGGCUCCCACGGUCUCCCACCCUCAUCCCACUGCCUCAGUAAUUCCAUGCAUCAAGCAUGAAUCGAGGGGUCUGAGUGCCUAGGAUUGUCCUAAGCCCUGGGAAUCUACAAAGAAGAAUUUGGCAGGGAUCCCUGCCUUGCAGAGGCCAUCAUAAUUUGACUUGGAAUGUCCUGCCCACAGGCAUACUCACUGUGCCAGGCACACUACUUUCUUUACUUAUAUUAUCUUAAAUAGGAAGAAACCUGGGAAAUGGGGAGAAGACUAUGCUGUCACUCAACAGCAAAUAAACCAUUAUGAAGAUCACUCCAUGCCAGCCACAGUGCCAGCUGCAGAGCAGCAAGACUCAGUGCCGAUCAGCCUGUGGCUCUCUGGGGCAGAGCCGGGUGGGUGCUGGGUCUCCCCGUUCUUCCCAGGGCAGGGAAGGAUCCCUGGGCUUCAUGAGCAUCCAAGAGGAGCUACAGU
rnacentral:lncRNA from 1 species